GAGACACGGUCCAGACUACUACGGGAGGCAGCAGUGGGGAAUAUUGCACAAUGGGCGGAAGCCUGAUGCAGCAACGCCGCGUGCGGGAUGACGGCCUUCGGGUUGUAAACCGCUUUCGCCUGUGACGAAGCGUGAGUGACGGUAAUGGGUAAAGAAGCACCGGCUAACUACGUGCCAGCAGCCGCGGUAAUACGUAGGUGGCAAGCGUU
rnacentral:rRNA from 1 species